rnacentral:rRNA from 1 species
CUACGGGUCGCAGCAGUGAGGAAUAUUGCACAAUGGGGGGAACCCUGAUGCAGCAACGCCGCGUGGAGGAUGACGCAUUUCGGUGUGUAAACUCCUUUUAUAUGUCAAGAAAAUGACGGUAGCAUAUGAAUAAGCACCCGCUAACUCCGUGCCAGCAGCCGCGGUAAUACGGAGGGUGCAAGCGUUAAUCGGAAUCACUGGGCGUAAAGGACGCGUAGGCGGGUUGGAAAGUCAGGUGUGAAAUCCUACAGCUUAACUGUAGAACUGCACUUGAAACUUCUAAUCUAGAGUAUGGGAGGGGGAGAUGGAAUUAGUGGUGUAGGGGUAAAAUCCGUAGAUAUCACUAGGAAUACCUAAAGCGAAGGCGAUCUCCUGGAACAUUACUGACGCUAAGGCGUGAAAGCGUGGGGAGCAAACAGGAUUAGAUACCCCCGUAGUC